GAUGAAGAACGUAGCGAAAUGCGAUAAGUGAUGUGAAUUGCAGAAUUCAGUGAAUCAUCGAAUCUUUGAACGCACAUUGCGCCCGCCAGUAUUCUGGCGGGCAUGCCUGUUCGAGCGUCAUUUCAACCAUCAAGCCCCCGGGCUUGUGUUGGGGACCUGCGGCUGCCGCAGGCCCUGAAAAGCAGUGGCGGGCUCGCUGUCACACCGAGCGUAGUAGCAUACAUCUCGCUCUGGGCGUGCUGCGGGUUCCGGCCGUUAAACCACCUUUUAACCCAAGGUUGACCUCGGAUCAGGUAGGAAGACCCGCUGAACUUAAGCAUAUCAAUAAGCGGAGGA
rnacentral:misc_RNA from 1 species